UACGUAGGGACCAAGCGUUGUUCGGAAUUACUGGGCGUAAAGGGCUCGUAGGCGGCCAACUAAGUCAGACGUGAAAUCCCUCGGCUUAACCGGGGAACUGCGUCUGAUACUGGAUGGCUUGAGAUUGGGAGAGGGAUGCGGAAUUCCAGGUGUAGCGGUGAAAUGCGUAGAUAUCAGGAGGAACACCAGCGGCGAAGGCGGCGCUCUGGGCCGGAACUGACGCUGAGGAGCGAAAGCGUGGGUAGCAAACAGG
rnacentral:rRNA from 1 species